GAUGGGGUUGAUCAGUGGACAAGACUGUAACUCACCAUAGUGAUAGACUGCCCUGAUCUGGACACCAUUGCUUU
rnacentral:pre_miRNA from 1 species